rnacentral:rRNA from 1 species
UACGGGGGGGGCAAGCGUUGUUCGGAAUUACUGGGCGUAAAGGGCGCGUAGGCGGCCUUCUAAGUCGGACGUGAAAUCCCUCGGCUCAACCGAGGAACUGCGUCCGAUACUGAAAGGCUUGAAUCCGGGAGAGGGAUGUGGAAUUCCAGGUGUAGCGGUGAAAUGCGUAGAUAUCUGGAGGAACACCGGUGGCGAAGGCGGCAUCCUGGACCGGCAUUGACGCUGAGGCGCGAAAGCUAGGGGAGCAAACGGG